rnacentral:misc_RNA from 1 species
GAUGAAGAACGUAGUGAAAUGCGAUAAGUAGUGUGAAUUGCAGAAUUCAGUGAAUCAUCGAAUCUUUGAACGCACAUUGCGCCCCUUGGUAUGCCGAGGGGCAUGCCUGUUCGAGCGUCAUUUCACCACUCAAGCCUGGCUUGGUGUUGGGCGACGUCCUCUUUGGGGACGCGCCUCGAAACGCUCGGCGGCGUGGCACCGGCUUUAAGCGUAGCAGAAUCUUUCGCUUUGGAAGUCGGGGCCCCGUCUGCCGGAAGACCUGCUCGCAAGGUUGACCUCGGAUCAGGCAGGGAUACCCGCUGAACUUAAGCAUAUCAAUAAGCGGAGGA